rnacentral:rRNA from 1 species
CUACGGGACGCAGCAGUGAGGAAUAUUGCACAAUGGGGGGAACCCUGAUGCAGCAACGCCGCGUGGAGGAUGACGCAUUUCGGUGUGUAAACUCCUUUUAUAUGUCAAGAAAAUGACGGUAGCAUAUGAAUAAGCACCGGCUAACUCCGUGCCAGCAGCCGCGGUAAUACGGAGGGUGCAAGCGUUACUCGGAAUCACUGGGCGUAAAGGACGCGUAGGCGGGUUGGAAAGUCAGGUGUGAAAUCCUACAGCUUAGCUGUAGAACUGCACUUGAAACUUCUAAUCUAGAGGAUGGGAGGGGGAGAUGGAAUUAGUGGUGUAGGGGUAAAAUCCGUAGAUAUCACUAGGAAUACCUAAAGCGAAGGCGAUCUCCUGGAACAUUACUGACGCUAAGGCGUGAAAGCGUGGGGAGCAAACAGGAUUAGAUACCCUCGUAGUC